rnacentral:lncRNA from 1 species
AUGCACGUCGUUGCAGGAUGGCUCGUUGGGUACGCAUUUGGGCCAGUCGUCCACCAUCCUGCACGUGCUCCCAGAUGGGCAACGCACUUCUUUGCAAGACAUCUUGCUGGGCACGCAUUUGGGCCAGUCCUCCACCACCCUACACGUCGUUCCGGCGGGGCAAUGCAUGUCGUUGCAAGUUGGCUUGUUGGGCACGCAUUUGGGCCAAUCCUCCACCACCCUACACGUCGUUCCGGCGGGGCAAUGCAUGUCGUUGCAAGUUGGCUUGUUGGGCACGCAUUUGGGCCAAUCCUCCACUAUCUGGCACGUCGUCCCCACCGGGCAAUGCACCUCUUUGCAGGUCGGUUUGUUGGGCACGCAUUUGGGCCAGUCUUCCACCAUCUGGCACGUGGUCCCAGCCGGGCAGCGGACGGUGCUGCAAGAGGGCUUGUUGGGCACGCACGUUGGCCAACCACCCUCCACUUGGCACGUGGUGCCCUCGGGGCAGCGGACGGCGCCGCAGGUGGGCUGGUUGGGCACGCACUUGGGCCAGCCCUCCACCACGUGGCACGUGGACCCUUCCGAGCAGUGCACCGUGUCGCACGUGGGCUUGGGGGGCACGCAGCGGGGGACGCCCUCCACCACUUGGCACGCGGUGCCGGAUUUGCAGGAGAUGCCGGCGCAAGAUGCCGCGGGCGCGCUCCUCACCAUCCGCACGCACUUGGGCCAGCCUCGCACCACCCGGCACGCCGUCCCACUCGGGCACUGCAGGUCCCCGCACGAGGGGAUGCGGACACAGCGGGGCCACCCGUUGAGGAGCUUGCAGCCCAUCCCCGCUUGGCAGUGGAGGUUCUUGCACGAAGGUCGGGAGACGCACGUGGGGUGGCCGUGCACCACCAUGCAAACGGUGCCGGGCUUGCAGGCAAAAUUCUGGCAGGACGCAGGGGUGGCAGCGCAGUGGGCACCACUGCAGGACGAGGGGAUGGGGGAGACCCCAGCGGAAAUUUGGGGGGCAGAAGCAGGGUGACCCCAGGGUGCAGAGCGGAAGAGGGGAUGGCUGGGGAGACACUGGGGCCAACCCUCUGUCAUCGUGCAGGCCGUGCCCUUGGGGCACUGGAUGUCACUGCAGGAGGGUUGGGUGUAGACGCACUGUGGCCACGCAUCGUUCAACUUGCACGUGGUCCCCUUCGGACACUGGAUGUCCCUGCAAGACGGUCUACGGAUGGAGGUCUUGAUUUGCACACACUGGGGCCAACCAUCCACCAUCUGGCACACGGUUCCCUUCUGGCAUUGGAUGUCACUGCAGGAGGGAGCGUUGUGGACACAUCGUGGUUGACCAUCAAUCAAGUUGCACGUGGUCCCUUUGGGACAGUGGACAUCAUUGCAAGAAGGCUGUCUUGGGGAGGUCUUGAUUUGGAUGCAUCGGGGCCAACCAUCAACCAUCUGGCAAGUGGUUCCCUUCUGGCAUUGGAUCUCACUGCAGGAAGGUGGGUUAUGGACACAUCGUGGUUGACCAUCAAUCAAGUUGCACGUGGUCCCUUUGGGACAUUGGAUGUCACUGCAGGAAGGUCUCUUCUGUGCGAUCUUGGUUUGAACGCACCGUGGCCAACCAUCAACCAUCUGGCACAUGGUUCCCUUCUGGCAUUGGAUCUCACUGCAGGAAGGUGGGUUAUGAACACAUCGUGGUUGACCAUCAAUCAAGUUGCACGUGGUUCCUUUGGGACAGUGGACAUUGUUGCAAGAAGGUUGCCUGACAGAUAUCUUGAUUUGGAUGCAUCGGGGCCAACCAUCAACUAUCUGGCACGUGGUUCCCUUCUGGCACUGGAUGUCACUGCAGGAGGGACGAUUCUGGAUGCACUGGGGCCAUCCAUUGACCAUAUUACACGUGGUCCCUUUGGGACACUGGACAUCGUGACAGGAGGGCACAUUAUGAACACAGUGGGGUUGUCCAUCUGCCAUCUUACACGUGGUCCCUUUGGGACACUGGAUGUCACUGCAGGAAUGACGUUGGGCAACGCAUUUGGGUCCACCUUCCAUCAUGUUGCACACAGUUCCUUUUGCACACUGGAUGUCCUCACACGUCCUUUUUUUCUGGGUUGGUUGCAUGUGGGAUAUCUUGGUUUGAACGCACCGUGGCCAACCAUCAACCAUCUGGCAUGCGGUUCCCUUCUGGCACUGGAUGUCACUACAGGAAGGUGGGUUGGGGACGCAGCGUGGUUGGUUGUCCAUCAUCUUACACGAGGUCCCUGGGCGACACCACACAUUGGCGCAAGAUGGCUGCGCAAUGGGGAGCUGUUUCGGGACGGGAUGGGAGUAGAAAUAUCUCCUGGUGCCUGCCCAGUUGGGAGAAGCCGGUUGCUGGUGGUGGAAGGGCCCACUCUGCAUGCAGCGGGGCCAACCCUGGGCCAUGAGGCACCUGGUCCCUUUCGGGCACUGGAUGUUGCUGCAGGAGGGCGGGUUGUGGAUGCACUUGGGCCAACCGUUGAUCAUCUUGCACACCGUGCCUUGGGGACACCGGAUGUCGUUGCAUGACGGCAGGGGACCGACGCAUUUGGGCCACCCGUCUACCAUUUUGCACACCGUCCCCAUUUGGCAGCGGAUGUCCUCGCACGACGGUGUUUUAUGGGCAGGCUGCGGGUAGGAGGUCUUGGUUGGCCCGCACCACGGCCAACCAUCGACCAUGUGGCACACCGUUCCCUUCUGGCACUGGAUGUCAUCGCAGGAGGGCGGGUUGUGGACGCACUGCGCUUGGCCAUCAGUCACCUUGCACGAGGUUCCCUUGGGACACUGGAUGUCCCGACAAGGUUGUCUUGGGGACGUCUUGCUUUGGACGCACCGUGGCCAACCAUCAACGAUCUGGCAGGAGGUUCCCCUCUCGCAUUUGAUGUCACCGCAGGAGGGGCGGUUCUGGACGCAGUGGGGCCACCCAUCCGUCAUCUUGCACGUGGUCCUUUUGGGACAGUGGAUGUCACUGCAAGAAGGUCUCCUUGGGGACGUCUUGGUCGGGACACACUGGGGCCAUCCAUCCACCACCUUGCACGUGGUCCCUUUGCUACAGGGAACGUUUUGGCACGAGGGGGGUGCCUGGGGAGCUGGCGGCGGUGGCGCUUCCCUCUGGAAGACCUGCUUGCGCACACAUUUGGGCCACCCGUCCACCAUUUUGCAGUGGGUCCCCUUCAAGCACCGAAUGUCCCGGCAGGACGGCAGGAGGUGGACGCACCUGGGCCAUCCGUCCACCACCUUGCACCGCAUGCCCUCGCCGCACUUGGUGUUGUGGCACGAGGGCACGGGGACGCACCUGGGUCUGCCGGCCGCCAUCUGGCACCGCGUCCCACCCUUGCAGGGGAAGUUCCGACACGAGGGCACGGGGACGCAUUUGGGCCACCCGUCCACCAUCUUGCAUCGCGUUCCUGCCCCACAACGGAAGGUGUUGCACGACGGCAACGGGACGCAUUUGGGCAACCCGUCCACCAUCUGGCACCGAGUCCCGGCUCCACAACGGGUGUUCUUGCACGAUGGCAACGGGACACAUUUGGGCCACCCAUCCACCAUCUGGCACUGGGUUCCUGCCCCACAAUGGAAGUUUUUGCAUGAAGGCAAUGGGAUGCAUUUGGGCAAUCCAUCCACCAUCUGGCACCGAGUCCCGGCUCCGCAUCGGGUGUUCUUGCACGAUGGUAACGGGACACACCUGGGCCACCCGUUCACCAUCUGGCACUGAGUUCCUGCCCCACACUGGAAGUUCUUGCACGAUGGCAAUGGGACACACUUGGGCCAUCCAUCAACCACCUUGCAUUCUGUUCCUGCUCCACAUCGGGUGUUCUUGCACGAUGGUAACGGGACACAUUUGGGCCACCCGUCCACCAUCUUGCAUUCUGUUCCUGCUUCACAAUGGAAGUUCUUACAUGAAGGCAACGGGACACAUUUGGGCAACCCAUCAACCAUCUUGCAUUCUGUUCCUUCUCCACAACGGGUGUUCUUACACGAGGGCAAUGGGACGCAUUUCGGCCAUCCGUCUACCAUUUUGCACUGAGUUCCUGCUUCACAACGGGUGUUUUUACAUGAAGGCAACGGGACACAUUUUGGCCACCCGUCCACCAUCUGGCACUGCGUUCCUUCUUCACAACGGGUGUUCUUGCAUGAGGGCAAGGGGACGCAUUUGGGCCAUCCAUCCACCAUCUUGCAUUCUGUUCCUGCUUGGCAAUGGAAGUUCUUACAUGAGGGCAAUGGGACACAUUUGGGCAACCCAUCAACCAUCUUGCAUUCUGUUCCUUCUCCACAACGGGUGUUUUUACACGACGGUAAUGGAAUACAUUUUGGCCAUCCAUCUACCAUUUUGCAUUCUGUUCCUGCUUGGCAGUGGAAGUUCUUGCACGAUGGCAACGGGAUGCAUUUGGGCAACCCAUCAAUCAUCUUGCAUUCUGUUCCAGCUCCACAACGCGUGUUCUUGCACGAAGGCAACGGGACACAUUUGGGCCAUCCAUCCACCAUCUUGCAUUGAGUUCCAGCUCCACAACGGGUGUUCUUGCACGACGGCAACGGGACGCACUUGGGCCACCCGUCCACCAUCUGGCACCGAGUUCCUGCUCCACAACGAGUGUUUUUACAUGAGGGCAACGGGACGCAUUUGGGCCAUCCAUCAACCAUCUUGCAUUCAGUUCCAGCUUCACAACGGGUGUUUUUGCAUGAGGGUAAUGGGACGCAUUUGGGCAAUCCAUCAACCAUCUUGCAUUCGGUUCCUGCUCCACAUCGGGUGUUCUUGCACGAAGGCAAUGGGACACACUUGGGCCACCCGUCCACCAUUUGGCACCGAGUUCCAGCUCCACAUUGGGUGUUUUUGCAUGAAGGCAACGGGACACAUUUGGGCCAUCCGUCCACCAUCUGGCACCGAGUUCCUGCUCCACAUCGGGUGUUCUUGCACGACGGCAACGGGACACAUUUGGGCCACCCGUCCACCAUCUUGCACUCUGUUCCUGCUUCACAAUGGGUGUUCUUGCACGACGGCACUGGGACGCACUGGGGCCAGCCGUCCACCAUCUGGCACUGGGUCCCGUCUUUGCACUGGUAGUUCUUGCAGGAGGGCGAGGGGACGCACUUGGGCCUGCCGUCCAGCACUCUGCAAGUGGUCCCCAGCCCACAUUGUACCCCAGCGCAGAGCUUGGCGCUGCUGUGGGCUGGCGGAUCAGCACCUGGGGAAUAAAACCAGGAGCCCGGUGAGCGAUGCCCCAACCCCUUAUCAGACAGCAGAGAAUCCACUGCUCAACAAUAGGGUUACUUUUGUGACAAAUAAAGCAGAUUUUCCCACCUUUUCCUCUCCUCCUGCUAAAACAGCCUCUUCCUUCCCUUGGGGGCAUACUCAUGGGAGGAUUUAAGGGGUUAAAGUAUUUAAGGAUUAAAGUAUUCUCUAGGGGCUUGUAUAAGGGUUGAGCACCCACUGCUGCCCAUUCCCAGGGGAGGGGAUGGUGCAGUUAUGGGGUUGAAUGGACGUUGGGCUAGAAACACCAAAUCUGGGCAUUGGGGAUGCAAAAGGAGAAGCACAAUGAAAGGAUUUGGGAGAUAAAAAUGCCAGAUUUGGGGUGGGAGAAGCAAAGCAAGAGGUGCAAUGAAAGGACGCAUGGAUUUGGG